AAGCAUGCAAGUCGAACGGCAAGAUUUGUGCUUGCACAAAUCCUAGAGUGGCGGACUGGUGAGUAACACGUGGGUGACAUACCCUUCAGUUGGGGAUAGCUAUUAGAAAUAGUAGAUAAUACCGAAUACGACCGUAGUAGUUAGAGGACUACGAGGAAAGUAGCUAAGGCUAUGCUGAAGGAUUGGCCCGCGGCCCAUUAGCUAGUUGGAGUGGUAAAGGCAUACCAAGGCGAUGAUGGGUAUCCGGCCUGAGAGGGUGAUCGGACACAUUGGGACUGAGAUACGGCCCAGACUCCUACGGGAGGCAGCAGCUAAGAAUAUUCCGCAAUGGA
rnacentral:rRNA from 1 species